rnacentral:rRNA from 1 species
GACGAACGCUGGCGGCGUGCUUAACACAUGCAAGUCGAACGAAGUGGCGAACGGGUGAGUAACGCGUAAUCAACCUGCCCUUCAGAGGGGGACAACAGUUGGAAACGACUGCUAAUCCCGUAUACUGAAGGAGGGUUAUGCGUCUGAUUGGGUAGUUGGAGGGGAAACGGCCCACCAAGGCGAAGAUCAGUAGCCGGUCUGAGAGGAUGAACGGCCAAAUUGGGACUGAGGCACGGCCCAGACUCCUACGGGAGGCAGCAGUGGGGAAUCUUCCGCAAUGGACGAAAGUCUGACGGAGCAAAGCCGGGUGAGUGAUGACGGCCGUCGGGUUGUAAAGCUCUGUUAAUCGGGACGCGGUACCGGAAUAGAAAGCCACGGCUAACUACGUGCCAGCAGCCGCGGUAAUAC